UACACCUGCGGGAGCAGCUGAAGCCACCUUUGUUUGGUGUUUGAUUUGGUGGAUUCCCUUUCACAAAACUGUUUAAAAGCAUGUUUUUUAAUAGUGACACUGUAGCACCAUGAAGUAUUUCUUUAAGCUCAGUGUUAAGUUAAAGAUUUAGUAAAUAAUGAUGAAAGUUUUUUUAUUUACUUCGUGUUUGGGGAGCAGCUAAAGCUCAGUAACUGCUUAGGCACAUCAGCCAAGAAAGAAGAUUCUUGUCACCUGCUUGGGAAGGAGAAUGUGUUCCAGCGUGGCAAGGAACUGCAGAAAAAAGCAUUUGUUCCAGUGGUCCCCAUGGCCAGUCUGACUAUCGAGAGAGCUCUGGGACUUGAGAGGCUUCAAAACCAAUCAGCACUAUUUUUUCUACAUCAACAAUGUGUGUGCUUGUUUGUUUCACUCCUGGACUGGAAAACCGUGACCAGACCCCAUAGCACAACAAUAUAAUGACCACAUCUGGAUGAAGUCCCUCUGUACUCUGUAAACACAACAACAUGGUUCUUAUUGCAAAAGGCUUUUCCUAUGUUUUUAUUCACAGGUGUUAUGACUCAUCAGAAGCAAAUCUUGGCGAAUAGAGAAGUAUGAAGAACCACUUCUCAACCUCUCUACUUACCAGUCCAGUAAAAAUGACUGUAAGAGCACCUAUUAAAUGGAUAAAUAGUGAGAGUAGGUUUUGAACAAUGCAUUAGAGGAGGAGAUUCACACACUGGUGGUGCAGCAUCAGGUAGAGGUUCAGCAUCUUGCUCAAGGACACUUUGACACGCUUUCUGGAGGAGCCAGAGAUCGAAGCAGAAACCCCCUAAUACUGGGCGGCCACGCUACCUCAACCUCUUGCACCAGUGUAAGUGAAUGAAAGCCAGCUAACGAACGUCAUCUUUCACUGUCACUUUGAGUUGUUCAUGAAAAGGCAAGACAGAGAAUAUUAAAUGGCCUUCAUGUGACCUUUUCAGUAUUCAGUUUAGGGGUACUCACUGUCAAGCUCAUUUAUGGCAUCCACAGCAGAUCACAGAGGAGACUACUACAAACAAGGCAAUUUCAAAAUGUAGGAAAUACAAGAGAUUUAGUUUGAAAUAAUGAACACAGACAGUAAUUGGUGUACAUUAAAAAAAAAAAAAAAAAACAUGGAAAACUUACUUGAAUGAGCUCUGCACAAACCUGCACUCUCUAUCUACACACGCCCAUACAAACCAAAAUAGACAGUUCCUGUUCCCCUUGAGGACUCUGACUCUGGAUGCACUUAUGAAAGCCAAGAGCCGUUUACAUUGCAAUCAAAAUGCUGUUUACAUAAAUGUCCCAGACAGUAAGUCAUCAACACUGGACACUUGCCACCUCCACCUUGCCGUGAUGCACCUCGGAUGAACUGAAUAAUUGAUUGCAGGUUCUACUUUGGAGGCAAGACUACUCAGAAUCCUCCAAUCCUGCACCUUUCUUCACAUGGCUGCAAUGCAGAUAUUAAGUUAAGGAUAUCCCAGCUGUCUUUUUUAAUUUAUCAGAAGAGGAGCAUCAGGACAUUCAAUGGAAUCAAAAGGGAAAAGUAAGAUGCAUUGAGCCAGCUUGUUGCACACCUAACAACCUGCCAAAUACUUUCCCUCACAGGAGAUAGAGUUUCAUGAAGCACCUGGAGCCAUAAUCGUCACUGUCAUCAUUAUCAUCAAAAUGGACCCGACUUCUAAUAUUGCGCUCAUAAUAAACCUACUCGCAGUAACUUUGACAGAUUUAUUUGACUCAGCUUAUUGUGCAAACUAUGAGGCUCAAAGACUAUUGCAUGGUCCAAAUCCAGUAUGGAAGAUUUAUCCACAUGUCUGUGGAGAUUCUCAGUCAUCCAGGUCAUGGUUAUCAAAGAAGGAUUGAAUCAAGCACAGCUGGACGUCCAGUUGCCCUUGAUUCAAUUCUUCUUGGAUAAGACUUCUCUACAGUAAUGAAUGCGGACACUAUAUUUCUCAGGAAUACUGCCAUGUGUUUUAGUCUCACAUAUACUUCUCAUGUUUGUUUUUUCCAUUUUGUUUCUGCUCUGCACAAUGCCCAGCUGUUUAGUAUUAUAUGCUUUUUCGUUCCAAGUUCCAACCAAGCACAGUCUUCACUGGUGAGGACAUAAAGAAUGAAUUACUGUGAGGAUGUAUGUAAAUUCAACACCACAGCCUCAGUCUUUGGUAAUAUCCUGGAUGGAAGCCAGUCAGAGCGAAAGCAGCAGAGAUGGUGCUGCCAGUAUGAAACUGACCUUUCCUCACACAUUUUAUUUCAUUGUUUCAGUCACCCAUCAGUUUAACACUGGGAGUUUUUGUUUUUUUUUAAAUAAUGAACAAGUGGUGUUGUUAUGAUCAACACUGAUUAAAGUCAGUGAUGCCUCAUUUCUGGUCAAUUAGUCACUUAAUAAAUGCAGCUCUGGGAUUUGAGUCAAUGUAGAAACAUUCAUUAUUGAUGCAAUCCAAACCAUUUUAAUUUGAUCAGUACACCAGAAACAACAUGUUGGCAGUAUCAGCAACACAUGUGGACUCCAAGUAACUUUGACUAUAUGAAAUCAUGUCCUUUGUGCAAAGAAGAAAAGCUUGAAAAAUUUCAACAUUUUGAAAUGUGACUGACCCGAAGCAAGUCCUGUCAUGUAGACUUUUAGCUCUUGAAAGAAAGGAUGUCUGUAUAUGUGUGUGUUUGUGUGUGUGUGCGCACGCAGCAGGUGAGGACUUAUCCUAACUGAGCCUCACCCAGAACCUUUCUGUCCUCAUAAAGAAACUACUUACUCUGCUGAGACGUUGAUGUUGAGAGAACAAGAAAAGAACAAGAGAAACAAAACUUCUCACUGAUGCUUAAAACAAUAAUGGUUACAAUACAUUUAUGUAACUUCUCUGUGAAAUCCUCGAGCUUAAAUAGCAUUGCAAAUGUUUCCAUUGAGAAGUACCUAAAUUAACUUGUUUUGUGUUUGGGGUAGUCACACUGAAAUUAGCAGUUUUGGAGUAACAUGUAGGAAAAUACAACAUGUAAAAAGCUGUUAAAGGUAUAUUCAUACUUCUAUGUUGUCUAAACCUGUAGACCUGAUUCACUGUCUGCUCUCUGGACUUUUACUACAGACCUUUAUGGAAACAUUUAGAUAUUAUGUUUUCAAAAACAGAUGUAAAUGUCUGUAGUAUACAUUACAGACACAGACUAUUCUCAUCUCUAUAUUUGCAAGAGGACAUUUAAAAUUCUUACAAAUCUACUGAAUCUACUUUUCCUUUAUGUUGCUGCUGUUGGACUGCCCUGCUGUGGCAUUAAGCCUAAUGAAUCUGCUGUCCUGUUCUUCCCCCUACUGUACAUUUAUGGGAUUUCAGUCUACCAAUAUGUAUACAUCAUAGUGUAUGCUAUGGAUUUAAGUUACAUGUAAAUUGUUUUUAAUAUGUUUUUAUUUGCUUUCAAAUGCACAGUAACUUCAAAAAUAUCCCUCAAAUUUAGAAGAAUAAAUUCCUUUCAA